rnacentral:tRNA from 1 species
UAUAUUUUAGUGUAUGAUGCACAAAAGUUUUUGAUACUUUAAGAUAUAGUUUAAUUCUAUAAAAUAUAA